GCCCCAGUAGCUCAGCUGGUAGAGCGUUGCCUUGGUAAGGCAGAGGUCGUGGGUUCGGAUCCCACCUGGGGCU
rnacentral:tRNA from 1 species